UACGUAGGGUGCAAGCGUUGUCCGGAAUUAUUGGGCGUAAAGAGCUCGUAGGCGGUUUGUCGCGUCUGCUGUGAAAACUCGGGGCUUAACUCCGGGCCUGCAGUGGGUACGGGCAGACUAGAGUGCGGUAGGGGAGACUGGAAUUCCUGGUGUAGCGGUGAAAUGCGCAGAUAUCGGGAGGAACACCGAUGGCGAAGGCGGCUCACUGGCCCGGUACUGACGCUGAGGUGCGAAAGCGUGGGGAGCAAACAGG
rnacentral:rRNA from 1 species